CACCGUUAUGAAGUGUACCUCCUCACCCGAGGUGUACUGAAGGCAUAACUUAAGGUUCGUUGUACCGUCUCUUCGGCCCCAUUAAUUAGCUGCUGUAACUCUUUCAUUCAUUCCUUUUGCUUCACCUCCUCUUUCUUUCUUCCUUCCAUCUUACUUUUUUCCUGCUUUUUGAGGUUUUCCUCUCGUUACGCCUUUCAGACCUUUUACUCUCAAUUUUCCUUUCAGCGCUGAAUGACCUCAUGGGUCCCAGCCUAAAUUGUUUAUAAUAUGCUGUUGUUCCGAAGCUUAUUUACUCGAGGAAUUGACCGGUACAAGGGUACAAUUCUUUCGUAGUUUGAGGCUUAUCUAUGAUUAUUUAUAUCAAACAUUUCAUUUUAUUUGAUUUGAUUAAUGUAAACAAUAUUUUGUUUACAGACGAAUGUCCACUUUAGUUGCCAUUUCGAAUCAAGUCAUGUCGUUGCAGUACAUCCACAAAGACAGUUGAUACAACUCCUUUUAUUAUUAUUAUUAUUAUUAUUAUUAUUAUUAUUAUUAUUAUUAUUAUUAUUAUUAUUAUUAUUAUUAUUAUUAUUAUUAUUAUUCCAGUCAUUCGAUUACUGAAUAAGACAGAAAAAACGCUAAAUCCAAAUUGAGAAUUGAAUCAAUUUUACCCAGUCCCUUAACAGAGAGAGAGAGAGAGAGAGAGAGAGAGAGAGAGAGAGAGAGAGAGAGAGAAUGUCCCUCAGUAAAGCGGAAAUCCAGUAUAAGCGGUCUAUCAGCGCAAAAUCAUUGUUUUGUGAAAGAAUCGAUCGGCCUUUCAUAACCAUUUGGAAAGCUAAAACAAGCGUGUUGAUAUAGUACUUGUUUUGUAGUCAGUUGAUCUCAAUAAUCAGUAAGUGAAUAAGUAAAUCGAGAAACCAAUUAGUAAACCAAUGACACACACUUUUGAGAUUCAUAAUUGUAACAUCAACCCUGUAUAUCUGAGGUAGCUUUUGUUUUAUAGGAAUUAUUUUGACGUAAUGUCGAGUAAUUCAAAUCUGUGAUUGAGUAAUUAAGAGAAUUUCAAAACGAACUAGAGAUCUAAAUGAUGUAGACUUCGAUUCAGCUGAAAUAGAUUCAUUUUCUUAUUUGCGUCGGUUAAGUGCCUAUCAAUAUGACGCAAAGACGACAUUUUCUAUAACAAAACUCGUAACUGUUUGAAGAAAUCAGUUUUAGCGUUCAAAAUUGCUUGUGUGGAGACGAACUGCUUUUGUAUCCAAUCGACUUUAUGGGCGUAUUGAAACAAACUUUUAACGACUUUUGUUUGAGCCAAAACGACUUAAGAGGAGGAGGAACCACUAGGAACCACUAGAAACCACCUGGAAUCACUAAGAACUCCCUGGAACCACCUGGAGCCACCUGGAGCCUAAAUGCGUCAGCUGACGUCAAGGUUAAUUGCUAUUCAACACUCAUGGCAGGAGUCGACGACUGAACUCGGUCUCUUGGCGUUUCGUGGGUGACUGGUCCCGUCUAAUCCACGACGAAACAGCUUCUAGUUUAACCUUUCUAUGCCAAUAUCAAAAUGUGGCCAAUUACUCCUGAUGUGCUGGUGCUACUGAGAAAUUGCUGUUUGACUGUUAAAACGGCCUUUGACCUCAGCAUAAGAAACUGUGAGCUAAAUAAGAAAUGGUUCCACUGAUCUAUACGGAUUUUAUGUGUAGCACCUUCAGACUGUUUAAGACCAGACACUUUCCACGUAGCCAACGAAGGUAUAUUUGAGAAGCUGGGAUCACUCACUGGCAGACAGGAAUUGAAGCUCCAGCCCAUCAGAUGAAGAAAAAUUGUACUCGUUUAAAAAUCACAAGAAUUUUUUAACAGAGACCGUAUUUCGCCAGGUAACAUCAGCGAUGCCAUAAACAGCCUACCUAAUAAUAAAUCGCCCGGCUGUGAUGGUCUUCCUGCAGAGGCCUUCAAACUCUGCCAUCCGAUAAUUUACAUUUUGCUAGCUGCCCUAUUCAAUGCGUGCAUAAUUCACCGGUUUCUUCCAGACUCCCUACUCUUAGUUCACUUGAUACCAUUAAUCAAAAACAAGCUAAAGGAUGCAGCUGACCCUGGCAACUACCGGCCGAUUGCAAUCACAACGAUCGCAUCGAAGAUACUUGAGUCUGUUCUUCUAGUGAGACUUCUCCCCUUUCUUCACACCACUGACAACCAGUUCGGGUUUAAAGCAAACCACUCAACCGACACCUGCAUCUACAUACUGAAAGAAUUGCUGAACUACUACCUAUCAUCAGCCUCUCCUGUUUUCCUUUGUUUUGUAGAUGUGAGAAAAGCAUUUGACAGAGUAAAUUACCUGAAGCUCUUCCUGAAGCUGCAUAAAAGGGGCACACCCCUGUAUCUAAUUGGCAUUUUACAUUGCUGGUUCUCCACACAGCAAUUCUGUCAAAUGGGGUAACGUAUUAUCUUACACCUUCGGCUCCCUAAACGGGCUUCGGCAAGGGGGCAUUCUCUCUCCAUACUUGUUUAAUACGUACACAGAUGCCUUGAAUGUCAAACUGAACUCACUCCCAAUCGGAUGCACCGUCAAUGAAACAACUAUAAACAACCUCUGUUACGCCGACGAUAUGGUUCUGAUUUCCCCAUCAGUGCAAUGACAUUCUGAGACGCCUCACAAACACUCCCCGCUACCACUCCGCCACACAGAUGUUCAUAGAAAACCACCUGGACAAUUUAAUUAAAAAUCAUUGUUAGGCGAACAAUGUCCAGUCUGGUAACCCGAGUGAGAAACAGCAGCAACUCGCUCAUACAAAGCAUCCUAAGGAGUGAAGCAAGAAGAAGAUCUAAAUUGUGGGAAAGAUGGGAAAGGGAGGCCUUUGUCCCCUAAAGGACUUAAUCUCUGUACUGGCAAGAUGUCAUCUCCAGUUUUUGUCAUUAUUACAUUUAUUGCUGAUAUUUUAAUUUUUCAUUAUUACUGUGAUUACUAUCAAGUUAAAGUUUUAUUUACAUUUAAUUUAUGUAUUAAGCCCUCUGGACCUGACUACUGUAACCACCUAAGGUCUCUAGUUGAAAUUUGAGUUAUAUAAUAUGUGCACCAACUGUUAUUACUCUCAAUGCAUAUUUUUUUUUCUCACCAAUAUUAUUACUUAUUACCAGUAUGAUGAUUACUAGCUUUUAUGCUACCUCAGCUAUUUUGUGGAUAAGUGCCGAUUAUUCAUUUUCUUUUUCUAUUUUAUCAUGUCUCAUGUAUCAAGAUUGUGUAUGUAACUGUCUGUAUUUUGUAUAUUCAAUGUAUAUGGCCCCGAGCCGAAAUAAAGCAUAUUAUUAUUAUUAUUUUUAUUAUUAUUAUUAUUAUUAUUAUUACAACAUCUCUCGUAAGAAAAGAAAAAGAAAAAGGGAGAAAAAACAUAAGAUAACAACAAUAAUAAGUGAACUUUCCCCCAUUACACAGCGCACAUAAGAGAAAAAGAAACAUAUGUAAUUCAAUAUCUUUCCCAAAACGGAAUGUGUACCGUUACGGGAUCUGCUACCGCAACAAUCCCAUCGACCAGAAACGACCAGAAAAGAAUCCCCUUACAUGAUACACUCCCGUGGAAUGCCAUAAUCAGCAUCUACAAGAAUAGUGCAAAUCUCCGAGUAAUCAACUCCAAAGGGGAAAAUCCGCAACUGGAUUCAUUACAGCAACAUUAGCAAAAAAAUCAACCUGUGAACAUCUCAGGUGCUUCGAACUGCAGCAUAGUCAGACUCGCAACGCCAGAAACUCAUGAUUCUCAAAAAAAUGUUCUAUACUGAAACUACAUCAGCACAUUUCACAGAACUAUCUCUAGGAUAUGACCUAGGUGCUCCAAAGUUAUCUCGAAGACAUAAUUCACCCAAACGAUACUACCCAAUUAUAUAAAAAAUUAUCACCUA